rnacentral:rRNA from 1 species
UCUGGUGGCCAUAGCAGAGAGGAACCACCCGGUCCCAUUCCGAACCCGGAAGUGAAACUCUCUAGCGCCGAUGGUAGUGGGACGAUAG